AUUGAACGCUGGCGGCAUGCCUAACACAUGCAAGUCGAACGGCAGCGCGGGCUUCGGCCUCGCGGCGGGUGGGGAACGGGCGGGUGAUGCACCGGAACGUGCCCAGCCGUGGGGGAUAGGCCGGCAACAGAGGGAAAAAUACCGCAUACGACCAGAGGGUGAACGCGGGGGAGCGAAAGGUCUCGCGCCAUUGGAGCGGCCGAUGUCGGGGUAGCUAGUUGGUGGGGUAAAGGCUUACCAAGGCGACUAUCCGAAGCUGGUCUGAGAGGACGACCAGCCACACUGGAACUGAGACACGGCCCAGACUCCUACGGGAGGCAGCAGUGGGGAAUUUUGGACAAUGGGGGCAAGCCUGAUCCAGCCAUGCCGCGUGCGGGAAGAAGGCCUUCGGGUUGUAAAGCGCUUUUGUUCGGGAAGAAAUCCUGUGGGCUAAUACCCCGGGGGGAUGACGGUACCGGAAGAAUAAGCACCGGCUAACUACGUG
rnacentral:rRNA from 1 species